rnacentral:rRNA from 1 species
UACGAAGGGGGCUAGCGUUGUUCGGAAUUACUGGGCGUAAAGCGCACGUAGGCGGAUAUUUAAGUCAGGGGUGAAAUCCCAGAGCUCAACUCUGGAACUGCCUUUGAUACUGGGUAUCUAGAGUAUGGAAGAGGUGGGUGGAAUUCCGAGUGUAGAGGUGAAAUUCGUAGAUAUUCGGAGGAACACCAGUGGCGAAGGCGGCUCACUGGUCCAUUACUGACGCUGAGGUGCGAAAGCGUGGGGAGCAAACAGG